UGUCCCAGAGUGCAAUGAGUAGCUCAUUGGACUUUUAAUCCAAAGGUCGAGGGUUAGAAUCCCAUCUGGGAUAA